GCCUGGGUGGCUCAGGAGGUUAAGCAUCUGACUUCGGCUCAGGUCAUGAGCUCGUGGCUCGUGGGUUCAAGCCCCAUGUCGGGCU
rnacentral:tRNA from 1 species